AAAUGCAUUUAGGUGCAGCGUCGUGUGUUUCUUGCCGGAGGUAGAGCACUGGAUAGGCGAUGGGCCCUACCGGGUUACUGACCUUAGCCAAACUCCGAAUGCCGGUAAGUGAGAGCGCGGCAGUGAGACUGUGGGGAUAAGCUCCAUGGUCGAGAGGGAAACAGCCCAGAGCAUCGACUAAGGCCCCUAAGCGUACGCUAAGUGGGAAAGGAUGUGGAGUCGCAGAGACAACCAGGAGGUUGGCUUAGAAGCAGCCACCCUUGAAAGAGUGCGUAAUAGCUCACUGGUCAAGUGAUUCCGCGCCGACAAUGUAGCGGGGCUCAAGCGUACCGCCGAAGUCGUGUCACUGCAGCAUGAGACCUAACGGUUGUUGUGGUGGGUAGGGGAGCGUCGUGUGCCGGGUGAAGCAGCGCCGGAAGGUAGUUGUGGACGGUUCACGAGUGAGAAUGCAGGCAUGAGUAGCGAUACACACGUGGGAAACGUGUGCGCCGAUUGACUAAGGGUUCCUGGGUCAAGCUGAUCUGCCCAGGGUAAGUCGGGACCUAAGGCGAGGCCGACAGGCGUAGUCGAUGGACAACCGGUUGAUAUUCCGGUACCCGCUUUGAAGCGCCAAACAUCGAAUCCUCUGAUGCUAAGCCCGUGAAGCCGCCCUGAGCUCUUCGGAGUGUAGGGGAGUGGUGGAGCCGGUGACCCGAGGUGUAGUAGGUGAGUGAUGGGGUGACGCAGGAAGGUAGUCCAGCCCGGCGGUGGUUGUCCCGGGGUAAGGGUGUAGGCCGUGUGAUAGGCAAAUCCGUCACACAUGGGGCUGAGACCUGAUGCCGAGCCGAUUGUGGCGAAGUGGAUGAUCCUAUGCUGUCGAGAAAAGCCUCUAGCGAGUUUCAUGGCGGCCCGUACCCUAAACCGACUCAGGUGGUCAGGUAGAGAAUACCGAGGCGUUCGGGUGAACUAUGGUUAAGGAACUCGGCAAAAUGCCCCCGUAACUUCGGGAGAAGGGGGGCCAUUCCUGGUGAUGAGUUUUGCACUCGGAGCUGGGGUGGCCGCAGAGACCAGCGAGAAGCGACUGUUUACUAAAAACACAGGUCCGUGCGAAGCCGUAAGGCGAUGUAUACGGACUGACGCCUGCCCGGUGCUGGAACGUUAAGGGGACCGGUUAGCUCCAUUUCGGUGGGGCGAAGCUGAGAACUUAAGCGCCAGUAAACGGCGGUGGUAACUAUAACCAUCCUAAGGUAGCGAAAUUCCUUGUCGGGUAAGUUCCGACCUGCACGAAUGGCGUAACGACUUCUCGACUGUCUCAACCAUAGGCCCGGUGAAAUUGCACUACGAGUAAAGAUGCUCGUUUCGCGCAGCAGGACGGAAAGACCCCGGGACCUUUACUACAGCUUGAUAUUGGUGUUCGGUUCGGCUUGUGUAGGAUAGGUGGGAGACUGUGAAGCAUGCACGCCAGUGUGUGUGGAGUCGUCGUUGAAAUACCACUCUGGUCGUGCUGGAUGUCUAACCUGGGUCCGUGAUCCGGAUCAGGGACAGUGUCUGGUGGGUAGUUUAACUGGGGCGGUUGCCUCCUAAAGGGUAACGGAGGCGCCCAAAGGUUCCCUCAGCCUGGUUGGCAAUCAGGUGUUGAGUGUAAGUGCACAAGGGAGCUUGACUGUGAGACCGACGGGUCGAGCAGGGACGAAAGUCGGGACUAGUGAUCCGGCGGUGGCUUGUGGAAGCGCCGUCGCUCAACGGAUAAAAGGUACCCCGGGGAUAACAGGCUGAUCUUCCCCAAGAGUCCAUAUCGACGGGAUGGUUUGGCACCUCGAUGUCGGCUCGUCGCAUCCUGGGGCUGGAGUCGGUCCCAAGGGUUGGGCUGUUCGCCCAUUAAAGCGGUACGCGAGCUGGGUUUAGAACGUCGUGAGACAGUUCGGUCCCUAUCCGCUGUGCGCGUAGGAGUCUUGAGAAGGGCUGUCCCUAGUACGAGAGGACCGGGACGGACGAACCUCUGGUGUGCCAGUUGUUCUGCCAAGGGCAUGGCUGGUUGGCUACGUUCGGGAGGGAUAACCGCUGAAAGCAUCUAAGCGGGAAGCCUGCUUCGAGAUGAGGACUCCCACCCACUUGAUGGGGUAAGGCUCCCAGUAGACGACUGGGUUGAUAGGCCAGAUAUGGAAGCCGGGUGACCGGUGGAGUUGACUGGUACUAAUAGGCCGAGGGCUUGUCCUC
rfam:Streptomyces sp. CMAA 1322 contig10, whole genome shotgun sequence.